UCUAAUCCUAUUUUUUUAUAUUUCUUUCCAUUUUCACAAGUUAUUAGAGUUAUAAAUUGACCAAUCGGAUGGCUCAAUGGUGGCUCAAUGGCAAUAUACAUUUUCUAGAGUUUCCGAGUGGUUUUGAAAGACACCUAAUGAAAAUUCAAGGGGUUAGGUGUCAACUUUGUAUGCUUUCAACUCUGUUUCAAAAUGUACACAACCUCAUGAUAUUUUAAAUAUUGCUUCCAUUUGGAUUAACUGUGUAUCUUAAGACUGACAUAAUUUCUAUGUGUCCAGAGAAUGUGGAUUUUCCGAAAAUGUGAUGUUUCUAUAUACUUUGUGCCACACAAGAGAUGCAAUGGAGAAGGCGGGUAUUUGGAAGGCCGUUUUAGUAUUGUUUUGUUGUGCAUAUGUGUUCAUGUAGGUGUGUGUGGGCGUAUGCAUGCAUGUGUGUCUGUAAGCGUGUGUGUGCAUGUGCGUGUAGUUGUGCAUGGGUGUGACUUUGAAUGGGUGUGACUUGGAAUAUGGAUGUAACUAUUACUGCGUUUGUAUGCAACAUUCUACUGUUGCCACUGUGAUUUCUACAGUUGUUCUGUGUGUAGUGGUUAGCAGAACUAAUACAUAAAUGUGUUUAAAAAGGUGCAUAAAUGAAUGGUGUGCAUAAAGAAGUGAUUGUAAUUAGAAUGAAUGAAAAAGAAUGGUUUGUCUGUUUCAUUUACAUUCAACUGUUUGGGAAUUCAACCCUUCUCCCUCAUGUCAGUGGGAAAGUACUUUUCGUGGGAACGAAAUGAAUAUGAGCGGUGAGCUAGUUUUUCCUUGUCCUUAAGACUUUAACGAGUGAAAUCUUGAAAUCUAUAACACAGGAGAUAAGUCAUUCAAAACCUACCAUUUUAUUGACACAGGCUGUAUUGCGGUACAGUGUUAGUGCCCUUGUCUUCUUGUUUGAGUGUUGUGUUUUUUAACAUCUGAAUAAAUGUUUUUGUCACUAUGAUGGUUUUUAUUUUGUAGAUUUUUAUUUUUAUUUUAUGUAUUUUAUUACUCUUUAAUAAUAAUUUUAACCAGGAAAGUCCUGUUGAGAUUAAAAAUCUCUUUUUCAAAGGAACCUUAGGGGUCACAUACACAUAUACACCAAAAUACAAUCAGCAAUAAAUAAAUAUAAAGUUCACAGUGGUCAGUGAGAGGCUUACAGUUUAUGAUGAAUCGUAGAGGAGAGUGAUAGACAGAGUCCAGAAGUUUCAACACUUGAUUUGGGGCAUUCAUAUAGAUAAAAUCUCCAUAGUCUAAAAUUUAUUUAAAAAAAUAUAAUAAAUUGUGGUCUCAACUUGUUUGUUCCUUGCAUUACAAGAGAGACAUAACCUGUUCAUAACCUUUGCAAUAGUGAUUUAGCUGCUUCCAGGAGCACACAUCCAGACUACGCUUGGGAGGGGAGGGAGAUUGCAGGAAUGCCGAGGUCAAGGAGGGAUGAACAGUAGUUUUUGUCUCCAUACGUAGUUGAGAGCAAAAACAGCAGCUCACAGGAGGGGAGGAGAGAGAAAAAGUGCGUCUGUCCUUGGCAAGAGCCAAACACGAAUGUAUACUGUUUGUGGUGUGGUUUCAUUGUUUCUUUAACAGGUUCAACACAAUUUUUGUGAUUAUGUGUGCUAAUUGUGUGGAUUGGAAUUUUUGAGGGUGCGACGGUAGAGUGUGGGCCAUCAAAAGUAAAGUUAAGUUAUUGAAGUGAGGCUCCUGUGAUAAACACAGAAUUAUUGUAGGAUUUUUUUUCCACACCUUUUUAAAAGAAAAAGGACAUUUUAAUCAAUUAGUUGCGAGUAUUUGCUGUAUUUGUUUUGGUUAAUUCUCCCUUUAAAGAAGUGACAUCAUGUGAAGUGUGAAAAGUAGCAUUUCUAAGUAAAUCUGAAGUUGGUGUUUGUUUUUUGAUGCAAAACUAUUUUAUUUCACAGUUUUUAUUUGUACUCAUUUUUUCACUGUGUAGCAGUAAAUAUUUUUUUAUUCAGAAGCAAAGAUUAGAAAUGAAAAAAAUGCAUAUAUUGGUAGGAGUGAUCAAGAGAUACGUCAACUCCAUAUCACUUGCAGGAGCAGAAAUAUUCUUAAUAUAUGCAUAAUCAUGCUCACUUGUUCUUAGCUGCGAUCUACAAAACAGUUAACUAUGUAUUCUGUUUAUGUAUUUUAUGUUGACACAAUAUUUGAAUUAUACAAACUGUUGAUACACACUAUUUGAACUCUUAUAAACAAAUGAAUACCUUUUCAAAGUGCCAUUGUUAUUUCCUCAAAACUUAUAAUAAACAACAUUGUGAUGUAAAUGUUGACAACGUCUGUUGUUGUAAAAUAAGGGCUACAUAAGAAUGAUGAAUUGUUUUUAAGGCGGCAUUACUCAAAAUACUAAAUUUAAGUGUGUCUUUACUGUCAUUAUUAAUUUUUACAGCCAGAGAAAAAAAUAUUUUACAUUUGAAAGUAGUUUUAUUUUGAAAGGAACACUCGAUAUAUACGUCAUAUCCCGUUUGCCACGGCACUUAUGCUUAGCUCUGGCUAGCAUGCACGUUGGAUUUGCUCGUGGCUAACAGCUGACGAUUGCAAACUACGUGUCUCCGCGUCUACGGUGAAUUUCACCGUAGGAACGUGUGUGUACUCGAAGCGGCUGCUUGUUCGAGAAGCCUUCUAAAGAACUUCUCAAGUUGACAUCAGCCCUUGUGUGGCAGCAUAUUUGCCUUUGGUGAGUACAAUUAAACAUC